rnacentral:rRNA from 1 species
GAAUUCGCCCUUAGAGUUUGAUCCUGGCUCAGGACGAACGCUGGCGGCGCGCCUAACACAUGCAAGUCGAACGAGCGAGAGAGAGCUUGCUUUCUCAAGCGAGUGGCGAACGGGUGAGUAACGCGUGAGGAACCUGCCUCAAAGAGGGGGACAACAGUUGGAAACGACUGCUAAUACCGCAUAAGCCCACGGGUCGGCAUCGACCAGAGGGAAAAGGAGCAAUCCGCUUUGAGAUGGCCUCGCGUCCGAUUAGCUAGUUGGUGAGGUAAUGGCCCACCAAGGCGACGAUCGGUAGCCGGACUGAGAGGUUGAACGGCCACAUUGGGACUGAGACACGGCCCAGACUCCUACGGGAGGCAGCAGUGGGGAAUAUUGCACAAUGGGGGAAACCUUGAUGCAGCGACGCCGCGUGGAGGAAGAAGGUCUUCGGAUUGUAAACUCCUGUUGUUGAGGAAGGUAAUGACGGUACUCAACAAGGAAGUGACGGCUAACUACGUGCCAGCAGCCGCGGUAAAACGUAGGUCACAAGCGUUGUCCGGAAUUACUGGGUGUAAAGGGAGCGCAGGCGGGAAGACAAGUUGGAAGUGAAAUCUAUGGGCUCAACCCAUAAACUGCUUUCAAAACUGUUUUUCUUGAGUAGUGCAGAGGUAGGCGGAAUUCCCGGUGUAGCGGUGGAAUGCGUAGAUAUCGGGAGGAACACCAGUGGCGAAGGCGGCCUACUGGGCACCAACUGACGCUGAGGCUCGAAAGUGUGGGUAGCAAACAGGAUUAGAUACCCUGGUAGUCCACACCGUAAACGAUGAUUACAAGGUGUUGGAGGAUGACCCCCUUCAGUGCCGCAGUUAACACAAUAAGUAAUCCACCUGGGGAGUACGACGGCAAGGUUGAAAACUCAAAAGGAAUUGACGGGGGCCCGCACAAGCAGUGGAGUAUGUGGUUUAAUUCGACGCAACGCGAAGAACCUUACCAAGUCUUGACAUCCUGCGACGAUGCUGGAAACAGUAUUUUCCUUCGGGACGCAGAGACAGGUGGUGCAUGGUUGUCGUCAGCUCGUGUCGUGAGAUGUUGGGUUAAGUCCCGCAACGAGCGCAACCCUUACUGUCAGUUACUACGCAAGAGGACUCUGGCAGGACUGCCGUUGACAAAACGGAGGAAGGUGGGGAUGACGUCAAAUCAUCAUGCCCUUUAUGACUUGGGCUACACACGUACUACAAUGGCGUUAAACAAAGAGAAGCAAGACCGCGAGGUGGAGCAAAACUCAGAAACAACGUCCCAGUUCGGACUGCAGGCUGCAACUCGCCUGCACGAAGUCGGAAUUGCUAGUAAUCGUGGAUCAGCAUGCCACGGUGAAUACGUUCCCGGGCCUUGUACUCACCGCCCGUCA